rnacentral:rRNA from 1 species
UACGUAGGUGGCAAGCGUUAUCCGGAAUUACUGGGUGUAAAGGGCGCGCAGGCGGCCCUGCAAGUCGGAUGUGAAAGAUCAAGGCUCAACCUUGACAGGCCAUUCGAAACUGUGGGACUUGAGUGUCGGAGGGGAAAGUGGAAUUCCUAGUGGAGCGGUAAAAUGCGCAGAUAUUAGGAGGAACACCGGUGGCGAAGGCGACUUUCUGGCUGACAACUGACGCUGAGGCGCGAAAGCGUGGGGAGCAAACAGGAUUAGAUACCCUGGUA